UACGUAGGGUCCGAGCGUUGUCCGGAAUUAUUGGGCGUAAAGGGCGCGUAGGCGGCCUGGCAAGUGGAAGGUGAAAUCCCUCGGCUUAACCGAGGAACUGCCUCCCAAACUGCUUGGCUUGAGACCGGGAGAGGUGAGUGGAAUUCCCAGUGUAGCGGUGAAAUGCGUAGAUAUUGGGAGGAACACCAGUGGCGAAGGCGGCUCACUGGACCGGUACUGACGCUGAGGCGCGAAAGCGUGGGGAGCAAACGGG
rnacentral:rRNA from 1 species